GCCGGGGCCGGGGCCCCCCCUAACCACUGCCUCGCUCAGGCUGCCGAUCGGCUCGUUCUCUCUGCGUUGGGACCGCGGAGGGCAUUCGCUGUGUGACUCAGGGCAAGUGUGCGCACCUCUCUGAGCCUCCGCGGCCUUCUCUAGCAAAAUGGUGGAGCCGGUACCCGGCUGUAAGGCAAGCUGGGAUGCGCGGAGUAGCGGGUGGAAAGCUGGACUGGAGUUCUCACUCGGCCGCUGGGUGACUUCGGUGCACUAGGGAUAGUAACAGUACCACCUCGUAGGGUUGUAGAAAGACCAAGUGAGUUAAUAUUUGUAAAGUGUUUAGAACAGCGUCUACUGCAUGGAAAGUAGUAUUUAUUUGUUAGAGAGACUCCAGGAGGUCUUGCCCAGGGAUUGACUUCUCCCUUCCCUGUCUCCACCCCCCACAUUCCCGUUUGUGAGCCAAGCCUUGCUUUUGCACCGGCCGGGCUCUCUUGCCUGGAAAUGCAUACCCAUCUCAAACCUGGGCUUUAAAAUCACCUCCUCUGGGACGCCUUCCUCUACUUCUCACAGUUCAGGCCUGUUCUGCCCCACACAGCAGAAAAUGCCCACGAUGCAAUACCAGAGUCUGCAUGGGACCAUUUCAACAACCCUUAGAAGCUGACUCAGCUGUCUCCUGGCCCUGACUUUUCUAAGAUGAGAGGAGCUGGAACCCUCAAAGGCUGAGAGUAUCCCACCCACUUCACAGAUGAAGCAAACUGAGGCCCAGAGAAGGGAAAUUACUUGCCCAAGAUCACCCAGCAAGUAAGAAACAGAGCUGGAGAUGAGCUCAGGCCAGCACGGAACCACGCAAACUCCUUCUGUAGGCUUUGUAAAGGAUUGAUGAGAAAAGCAGAUGGUUAAGAGCUCUACAACUUCUGUGAGUUUCUCCACGUUGGUCAGGCUGGCCUCGAACUCCCACCCUCAGGUGAUCCACCUGCCUUGGCCUCCUAAAGUUCUGGGAUUACAGGCAUGAGCCACUGCACCCAACCUGAAUAAUCUAUUAGAGUCUUUAUCUCUAAGAAGAGAAAUACAUCUGAACUAAAGGGUAAAAAAUGGCAUGUUUUAAUUGGUAAGUCUAAAUGCAAAACGAUGACAAUAAAAUUUUAAAGGACUGCUUCCUUCUUAAGCUUUAUUUUCGUCCUCUGUCAGUGUAUUGCUAGACUCAUCUUUCCCAGACACCCAGACCUCCCACGAGAGUAUGUACAUUCCAUUUGGCUUGAUUUCAAGUGCUAAUGUAUAAAGCUUCUGGGUUCUGGGUCUGGCAAGCUAUUUCUCAUGUUCUCUGAUAAAAUAUUGAAAACCAUCUCUAAGGUCUUCCAAGAGGGGAUAUGUGGAAGAUACAUUUCAAUUUUCCACUGCAUUUCAACCUUAAUAUAAUGUGAUUAGCUACAGCAUUGAAAAUUAGCUUAAUACUGGCCCAUCUUAUUAUAGGGGCCAAGGAAAAACUUUCCCUUUAUCCUCUGAAGGUCCACUGUAAUCAACUGACACAAAAGGCAGAUUAAUAGAAGAAAAGGCAUAACCAUUUUAUUUUAAUGUACAUAGCACAGGAGAACUGAAGGAGAAUGAUUACCCUGCUAUCUUAAUUUAAUUCCAAUGUGGUCUGAGAGCAGACAUUGUAUGGUUUCUAUUAUUAUAAAUUGGUUAAGCUGUGCUUUAUGGCCCAGAAUGCAGCCUGUCUUAGUGAAUGUUCUGUGGGAGCUUGAGACGAAUGUGUUUUCUGCUGUUGCUGGAUGAAGUAUUCUAUAGACACCAAUUAUAUCCAGUUGAUUGAUGGUGUUGUUGAGUUCAACUAUGUUCUUACUGAUUUUCUGCCUGCUGAAUCUGUCCAUUUCUCAGAGGGAUGCUGAAGUCUUCAGCUAUACUAGUGGAUUCAUCUAUUUCUCCUUGUAGGUCUGUCAGUUUUUGCCUCCAUAGUUUGCUGCUCUGUUGUUAGGCACAUACCCAUUAAGGAUUUAACUAUGUCUUCUUGGAGAAUUGACCCAUUUAUCAUUAUGUAAUGUCUCUCUUUAUCCCUGAUAAUUUUCCUUGCUCAGAAGUCUGCUCUGAAAUGAAUAUCGCUACUCUCACAUUCUUUUCAUUAGUGUUAACCUGUUAUAUCUUUCUCCAUCUCUUUACUUUUAAUCUAUAUGUGUCUUUGUAUUUAUUUUUUAUUUUUUUUUAAUUUUUUUUUUCUGUGGGGUCAGCCAGGAGAGAGGGGGGACAGGUGACUGGUCCAUCCCUGAGGCAAGGAUCCCAGCACCUACCAGGCUUCCCCCGAGACCAACACUCUGCAGCUCUGGGAGGAAGUGGAGAGCCCCAGAGUCUGGCGAACUUGGCAGGACGUGAGAGAACAGCUCAAGGGAGAACCAUUCCAGUCCCUUCCAUGGCCCCAGGAGGUGGGAGACAGGCCCUCCCCAUUCUGCAGGUGAGAAAGCAAGGCUCUGAGAGGGACAGUAGCUUAUAUAGGGGACACAGCACAGGCAGGUGGCAGAGGCAGAAAUAAAACCCUUGUGGGUGGAAGGCGCAGGUUCUUCCACCCCAUGGGAGUCCCACCAUGGCUGGCUAGGAGGCUGAGAUACCCACAAGGAAAAGCCUGAAGUGGCAGCAGAGCCUGGAGAUGGGGCUGAGGGAAGAAGGAGGAGGAGCGGGGAGAGGGAGACAGGUGUCUCAGGAGACAGAACCGCAGAGUGAGUUUAGUGCUUGGGGAUUAGGCUGACUGACCUGGCUUUGCCACUUACUAGCUACAUGUCCCUGGCAUAGGACCUAGUGUCUCUGAGCCUCAGUUUCUUCAUCCAAAAAAAUGGAAAUGGCACCACCACAGGGCUGCUGUGUCAUACGAGAAGGUACUGUGUGUGGGCGAUGCAUACUCUCUGCCCACUACCUAUGGGGCUGGGCUGCCCGCCCGGCUCGCAGUGGCACACCUGCACGACACCGAGCAGUGAGGAGCAGCGAGUCUUUGUUGAGAUGGGCUGCAAGCAGCCCUCUGGUCCAGAUGAACUCCCUCAG
rnacentral:lncRNA from 10 species